rnacentral:rRNA from 1 species
CGUAACGCGUAUGCAACCUACCUUAUACUGGGGUAUACCCCGGAGAAAUUCGGAUUAAUCCCCCAUGGUAUUAUUUAAUCGCAUGGUUUGAUAAUUAAAGGUUACGGUAUAAGAUGGGCAUGCGUCCUAUUAGCUAGAUGGUAAGGUAACGGCUUACCAUGGCUACGAUAGGUAGGGGGCCUGAGAGGGUGGUCCCCCACACUGGUACUGAGACACGGACCAGACUCCUACGGGAGGCAGCAGUGAGGAAUAUUGGUCAAUGGGCGCAAGCCUGAACCAGCCAUGCCGCGUGCAGGAGGAAUGCCCUACGGGUUGUAAACUGCUUUUAUUUAGGAAUAAACUCUUGUACGUGUACAAGCCUGAAGGUACUAAAUGAAUAAGCACCGGCUAACUCCGUGCCAGCAGCCGCGGUAAUACGGAGGGUGCAAGCGUUAUCCGGAAUCAUUGGGUUUAAAGGGUCCGCAGGCGGAUUUAUAAGUCAGUGGUGAAAUCCUAUCGCUUAACGAUAGAACUGCCAUUGAUACUGUAGGUCUUGAAUUCGGUCGAAGUGGGCGGAAUGUGUAGUGUAGCGGUGAAAUGCAUAGAUAUUACACAGAACACCGAUAGCGAAGGCAGCUCACUAGGCCUGGAUUGACGCUCAGGGACGAAAGCGUGGGGAUCAAACAGGAUUAGAUACCCUGGUAGUCCACGCUGUAAACGAUGAUUACUCGUUUUCGGCGAUAUACAGUCGGAGACUAAGCGAAAGUGAUAAGUAAUCC